rnacentral:rRNA from 1 species
GCAGUCGUACGAGAGUUUUUAACUCUAGUGGCGGACGGGUGAGUAACACGCUGAGAAUUUACCUUGAGGAGGGGGAUAACAAUUGGAAACGACUGCUUAAUACCCCAUAUGCUUUUGAGUGAAAUGGAUUUAUAUUUAUCCGCCUAGAGAGAAGCUCGCGGCUGAUUAGCUUGUUGGUAAGGUAAGAGCUUACCAAGGCGACGAUCAGUAUCUGGUUUGAGAGGACGAUCAGACACACUGGAACUGAGACACGGUCCAGACUCCUACGGGAGGCAGCAGUGGGGAAUUUUCCGCAAUGGGCGAAAGCCUGACGGAGCAAUACCGCGUGAGGGAAGACUGCCUAUGGGUUGUAAACCUCUUUUUUCAGGGAGGAAUAAAAUGACGUGUACCUGAAGAGUAAGCAUCGGCUAACUCCGUGCCAGCAGCCGCGGUAAGACGGAGGAUGCAAGUGUUAUCUGGAAUCACUGGGCGUAAAGCGUCUGUAGGUGGUUUGAUAAGUCAACUGUUAAAUCUUGAGGCUCAACUUCAAAAUCGCAGUCGAAACUAUUAGACUAGAGUAUAGUAGAGGUAAAGGGAAUUUCCAGUGGAGCGGUGAAAUGCGUAGAUAUUGGAAAGAACACCGAUGGCGAAAGCACUUUACUGGGCUAUUACUAACACUCAGAGACGAAAGCUAGGGUAGCAAAUGGGAUUAGAUACCCCAGUAGUCCUAGCCGUAAACUAUGGAUACUAGAUGUUGAACAGAUCGACCUGUGCAGUAUCAAAAGCUAACGCGUUAAGUAUCCCGCCUGGGAAGUAUGCUCGCAAGAGUGAAACUCAAA